AGGCUUAGAAUCAUAGAAUCAUAGAGUUGGAAGAGACCACAAGGGCCAUCCAGUCCAACCCCCUGCCAAGCAGGAAACACCAUCAAAGCAUUCCUGACAGAUGGCUGUCAAGCCUCUGCUUAAAGACCUCCAAAGAAGGCUUAGUAGAGAGUAAACCACACUGAGCACAGCUUACACCCGAGUAAAUAUAAAUGUGAUUGCAAUGUCUGAGCACCAGCUGACUUCUUGCACAGGACAGAAGGAAGUACACCCAGGUCAUUUAAAGAUUUGUAAAAGGAUUCUACCGCUAAACAGAAACUCACAUGUGACCGAUGCUCUCAGUAUUUUUCAUUUUAUUUUGUCGCAUUUGCUCACAGGCAUGUACACACCUCGGCUACUUUCGCAAGCAACACUCUCACAAGUCUCUGGCGGUAGCAGCAGCCCCACACCAGCCUUGGUCACUCACCAAACUUGGAUGCUCUGCACCAGUCUCAGCCAUGAGCUCUUCCCUCCUGUUGUCAUCCCCAGAUUGCCUGGCAGGUACCGGUUUUAGUUUACACUCUUGACUUCUGUGCUAUAUGGACAAAGAGGGAAUGGAGCUGCUGUCAGGUUGUUUCCUUUCUUACAUGGUGUGCUGAGUCAUGCUGAUGGAAGUGGACUUUGUUUUUCAGCUACUUAGAGACAGACAAUAGUUUUUAUGAGUACUGAAAGUAGCUUGAGAGAGAUAACAUUUCCCAUGGUGUAUGCACAUGGUGUGUGCAUAUAAUUA